GUGCGCGGAGGAGAUGCGUAGGGUGUGACCCCCCACUUGUGACUUCAAAAGCAAAAAGACCUACUCGACCGACCGACGGUUUUAGAACUCAGAAGACAGUCGAACCCUCACAUCUGCUUCUCCAUUCAGCCAGUGAUGAUGCUACAUGUCAAGUACCAAGGCUCCAGGCUUUAAAAUCCAGAGUUCAAAAUUCCUGUGCUAUCACUCACUAUCUGUGCGACCUCGGGAGCUGAUUGUGGCCGGACAAUGAUGAAUGGUGUCAUAUGGGGCACCUGAAGAUCCCAACGGCUAUCAUCGUCAUCACCAUCAUUGCCCUCUUCGUCCUUGUUCGUGCCAUGAGAGCCGUUUCACUGUGGCCAUUGGGA